UACGUAGGGGACGAGCGUUGUCCGGAAUCAUUGGGCGUAAAGAGCGUGUAGGCGGCUUCUCAAGUCCUGCGUGAAAUCUCGAGGCUCAACCUCGAGCGGUCGUGGGAAACUGGGUGGCUAGAGUGCGGGAGAGGAGAGUGGAAUUCCUGGUGUAGCGGUGAAAUGCGCAGAUAUCAGGAAGAACACCCGUGGCGAAGGCGGCUCUCUGGAACGCAACUGACGCUGAGACGCGAAAGCGUGGGGAGCAAACAGG
rnacentral:rRNA from 1 species